rnacentral:ncRNA from 1 species
CGACCCCAACUCAGACGAAAACUACCAUUGAGUUUAAGCAUAUAAUUAAGUGGAGGAAAAGAAACUUACAAGGAUUCCCCUAGUAAUGGCGAGCGAACCGGAAAGAGCCUAGCAUGAAAAUCGAGUCGCAGCGCCCCCUAAAUUGUAGUCUGUAGAAGAGUCCUUAGCAGCGAACCAGGCCCAAGUCCCCUAGAAGGGGGCGCCUGAGAGGGUGUUAGCCCCGUCGAGCCGAAACCCUGCCGCACCACGAGGCGUUGUCGACGAGUCGGGUUGCUUGGAAAUGCAGCCCUAAUCGGGUGGUAAAUUCCAUCCAAGGUUAAAUACGGGCGAGAGACCGAUAGCGAACAAGUACCGUGAUGGAAAAAUGAAAAGGACUUUGAAAAGAGAGUUAAAGAGUGCUUGAAAUUGCCAGGAGGGAAGCGAAUGGAGGCCGACGAUGCGUCUCGAUCGGAUGUGGAACGGCUCAAGCUGGUCCACCACUCGACUCGAGGUGUAAACCAGCACAGGUCGUUGCAUCGGCACAAGCGCGGGUGGAGUAUUGCAUGUUGGUUUGUCGUUGUGGC